rnacentral:rRNA from 1 species
UACGAAGGGUGCAAACGUUGCUCGGAAUUACUGGGCGUAAAGCGCGUGUAGGCGGUUGUUCAAGUCAGGUGUGAAAGCCUUGAGCUCAACUCAAGAAAUGCACUUGAUACUGGAUGACUAGAGGACCGGAGAGGAUAGUGGAAUUCCCAGUGUAGUGGUGAAAUACGUAGAGAUUGGGAAGAACACCAGUGGCGAAGGCGGCUAUCUGGACGGUUUCUGACGCUAAGACGCGAAAGCGUGGGGAGCAACA